rnacentral:misc_RNA from 1 species
UUUGUGAUUAUCAUCAUGAUCAUCAUCGCGAUCAUGAUCAACCCAUCUUUCAAUGCACUCUCCAUGGAACACGUGGCAGCAGUUCCUUAGUUCUCUGACUUCAUCAUGCUCUCUCAAAUGGCCCAAGCAGACAGCACACGUGUCACAAGCUCCUGAAAUCCUAUCAGUGAGGUCACCAAAAGUGGUUAAAAUCAGACCGUCCCUUAUCUGUUGAGAAGAAGGGAGAGAAUGGGAUUGGUGUAGAGAAUCAUUGGUGGAAGGAGCAGGCAAAUGGGUUCUGUUUCUGAACUUGAGAGCCCAAGACAAGGACCAUCGCAAGACUGCAAGAAUCACAGCUGCCUUGUACAAGAGAUGGGUUACUAUUACACAAGAAUCCUCCUCAAGGAAACCCAUUAAAAGAAAGCAGAAUUUUAUCAAGAACAA